rnacentral:misc_RNA from 1 species
CCUUUUCAUCUUUUAUUUGUUCCUGCCUUUCAAAUCACAAAUAGCUUUCUCCUCCUCAGGACAAAGAAAUCAAGAGGAAAAGAACCUACCAGAAAAUAAAAAUGGCUUGUUUUAGGCUAAGAAAGUCCAGAACCACCUCUACCAUGAAGGCUACCUCAUCAGACGCUACUCUUACAUCACACCAAGAAAAUCCAGAACCCAAGAAUCUCAAACAAGAAGUUCUUUUGCAAAUCCCAGCAUGCACAGUUCAUCUGAUGGAAGGAGGAGAAGCACUAGAACUCUCCACAGGCGAGUUCACUCUUUUUCGAAUCUUGGACGAUAAUGUUUCUCUUGCUACAAUUGUGAAAGUUGGUGAUAAUCUUCAAUGGCCUUUGACAAAAGAUGAACCGGNUUAAGAUUGAUGGUUUACACUAUCUAUUUUCUUUGCCAAUGAAAGAUGGUGAUCCUUUGAG